GAGCGCCCAUCGCGGGCGCUCUCUACGCGGAGCGGAGCGGGAACGGGCCAGGAGGAGACGGAGGGAGAGGGGCGUCUGUCGCCCUGCCGGCCGGCUGCGAGCAGGAACUGGAGCCUGAUCCAUUGCUUCGCUGGAGGCACCCGGGCGGGCGCCCUCCCUUUCGGAGCGGCCAGGGCUGCGCCCGCGUCCUGUGCGGUUGAAGAUAUCAGAUGGGCCCAGGCGCAGCCCGUGGAUGGAAGUGACUGAGGGGACCUCACCUUGUUAAGAGACACGCAGAGGGCGAAGGAAGACCGGGACCGUCCGCGGAAUGGGAUGCGUCCCUGACCCCAGUCGUCUUCACAGCUUGUCCCGCGUGCCCAGGGCCGAGUGAGGAGGCACCAGAGGGGACCGUGGCUAUCCAUUUCCCCUCCUCACCUCUGGAUAUGUUUCAUGCUAAACCUGGAUGCUUCUUUGAUAUCGUGAAGUUGCGUGGGAAAUAAUCUGGGUUUCCGGUGUGACAGCAAGAAUAGCUACUCACCCAGGGGAAGGGAAAUGCAUCCUGGUUUGGAGACAAAACCUCCCUUUCCUAUAAUCGUUAGAAAGAAGAGGAGCCAAGUCCCGAGGCAUGAAGAUAGAUGUGUGUAAUGGAGUAAAACCUCAGACAGCUCCUGUCAUCUGCCGUUUGCCCUUCCAGACUGGAUUGUGAUCCAAGCGAGUUUUAAGAUUGUUUAAAGGGAGAAAAAUCCUCCUUUCGAUAUUUUUUUUUUUCCUGCCUCCUCCUUUGGCUUCCUCAGGUAUGAGUGCCUCUCUGCAGCACCUUUUGCUGGCGCUCUUGCUCUCCAGUGCUACCCUGCUGCUCAGCACUGCGGCUGCUACCCAAAGUGAGGAGCGGUUGUGUGCAUUUAAGGACCCAUAUCAACAGGACCAUGGAAUCAGUGAGAAUCGAAUCUCUCAGGAGAAUGGCACAAUUUUAUGUGUGAAAGGCACCUCCUGCUAUGGACUUUGGGAAAAAACACGAGAAGGAGACAUACAUCUUGUAAAACAAGGAUGCUGGUCUCACAUAGGAGACCUACAGGAGUGUCAGUAUGAGGAGUGUAUAGUAACAACCACCCCUUCCUUGAUUCAGAAUGGAACGUAUCGCUUCUGCUGCUGCAGCACUGACUUGUGUAAUGUCAACUUCACUGAAAACUUUCCUCCUCCUGACCCAACGGAUACACCACUUUUCAAGAGAAGAUAUAAAGCCAUGCAGAGAAAAAAGGUGAAAAGGACUUAGAGUGCACCAGUGCAUGUUGUGAAGAUUAUAUUGAAGACUAAGAUUUCCUAAUGGAAAAAACUCGAAGAUAAACCCACUUUCUGCCCAAACCCUGUCUCUUACUAACCUGAUGCUUGCAAGAGAGAAAAGUGUAUGGGCAGUGUGGAUGGGGUUUGAUACUUACCAGUCAGCAUCAAGAAUUCAGAUCACUUGAUUUUGCUUGCAGCCAUUUACAGCCUCCACUUACCCUAGAGCUGAAGUGCCUCAGUCUUGCACAUUUUACAAGGAUCAGUCAAAAUGGUACUGAUACUGUCAAAAAAGCUGAUACUGAAUAUGCUUAAUUCAAUUAACAGUGAUAAACCUUUAUUGUGUGUUUGAAAUCAUAGCAGUUGCAUUGAUGUACUGGCUCAUUGUGUUGUUAUGAUGUCUGUCAAAGUGUCUUGUACAUUUAUUUAGGUACCGUUACACUGUCAGUAGGUGAACGUUUUUGUCUUAUAAUGUAGCCAUUGAAAUAAGAAUGGAAACAUCUAUCCCAUUGAUUUUAAAUAUUUAUUAAAUUAAAUAGAGAGAGUUACUUUUAAGGUGCUCUGAAAUAGUUAACUGGUUGUCCUUCAGGAGCAUCAUAAUGAUACUUUGUUGUUUGGCACAAAGGAUUUCUAUCCUUUAACAGGUCUACUUUUUGCUAUGUGUUUCACUGAAUUUCAUGGUACAUGCAGAAUUUGAGUAAAUCAGCAUGCAGUAUGUUUGUCAGAAAUAAAUCUUCAUUUUAUGCUAGCAUUUUUAAAAAAUGGUUGUUUUACCCAUUUCUAAUCAGAUUACUACAGGCUUUUCCAGCAAGUGUUUAUGUAAAGAAUCGUUGCCUUGUGAAGUUAUUGCUUGCUGUGAUAAACUUAUCUAGUUUUACUAUGUGUUUUUGAAAUGGUCAAAGAAGGAGUAUAUCAAGGCGCAAGAUAAGCAAACAGAACAUUUUGGGAUUGAUUCAGUAGUGUUUGUAUUUUAAUAGAUUGCAGAUAGUAUACCCAGAACAGAAAUGUUAAAGGCACAUAUAUUUACAAUAGCUAGGUAUUUCGGUGUGCAAAAGGUUUGACUGAACCCAUAAAAGUACUCAGAAAUCAGCUUUGAAUUGAAUUCACCCUAAAUUUUGAAUUCCUUAGAAUUUUGGACUUUUGUCUGCAAACUUCCUGAAGAGCUCUGCAUAGGCUCAAUAGCUUGUGUCUCUUACCUACAGAAGCUGGUCCAAUAAAAGAUGCUACCUCACC